GUCUAAUGAUGAAAUAUGAUACCGCCCCAGUCUGAACAUUAAGGAUGACAGGUAUUUGCUGAUUAGAC
rnacentral:snoRNA from 1 species